rnacentral:tRNA from 1 species
GCCGGGGUGUGGUAGAGGCUAUCCCUGGGGACUGUGGAUCCCUAGACCCGGGUUCGAAUCCCGGCUCCGGCC